UACAGAGGUCCCAAGCGUUGUUCGGAUUCAUUGGGCGUAAAGGGUGCGUAGGCGGCGCGGUAAGUCGGGUGUGAAAUCUCGGGGCUUAACUCCGAAACUGCAUUCGAUACUGCCGUGCUUGAGGACUGGAGAGGAGACUGGAAUUUACGGUGUAGCGGUGAAAUGCGUAGAUAUCGUAAGGAAGACCAGUGGCGAAGGCGGGUCUCUGGACAGUUCCUGACGCUGAGGCACGAAGGCCAGGGGAGGCAAACGGG
rnacentral:rRNA from 1 species